rnacentral:lncRNA from 1 species
AUGAAGCCCCGUCUCGGCCCCGCGCCGGCGCAGGAAGAAGCCUCGGGCCCCGCGUCGCUCCUGGCCCCGCGCUGGUGGGGAUGGUCCGAUCAUCCCGGUGGCUUUUCCUUAAAACAGCUGAAUUUGCCCAGGAACCGGCCAAGGGAUUGGUCUGCCGGUGGUGCGGGGAAGCACCGACCUGAGUCCACCUGCGCAUCCCACGUGGAUGCUGGUUAUCCCGAAGUCGCUGCCGGAGAGCGGGCGUCGUGUUUUGCUGCCUUUCGAGAGACUCCUCCGUCCCGCGGGCGCUCGCUGCCGGGAGCCGCCUUGGCCGAGCGCUGGGGCCGGGACCGAGCGCGGCCGGCGCCGCCGCGGGAAGAUCCACCAGGGUUUUCCCGGCUGCCGGUGGGGCGCUUGGAGGAGCGGCGGGCAGAAACGGCGGGUCGGCUCUCAAACGCGCCCAGCGGCUCCCACGCGAGGGGCUCGGCCCCCCCGGGACGGGAACCCCCGGCGGCGCCCUGCUGCCCCAGCACCGUUUUCGGUGACCAGGCGGGUUCGGGAGCGGAAGGCAGUUGCGUCGGCCGCGCUCGGCGUCGCCUGCGUGCGCUGCACGGGGCGCRCGGGCUCCGCGAGCGGCUGCAGCCGGGCGCCUCCGGGGACGGAGGGAGGCUCCGGUGCCUCUGCCCACUCCUCGGCCGGGGUUUGGGGGUUCAGCCGGGGGCCCAAUGCUGCAGGCGCCCGGCUGCACUCUGGCCCGCGGCCGGCGGGGUUCAGGCCCAGGUGCUGCCCAGCCCCGCUGCUGGAAACGGCGCCGCUGCUGCUCCGGCGACUUGUGAUUCCCAGGGCCACGUGGCUGCCGGUGCUGGCCGGGGACACUGGGACCUGCUCCCGAGGGAGGAGGAGGAUGGCGGGUCCCCCCGUGCCUCAGUUUCCCACCCCGCUGCCGCUCUCCUUGCGCGGGCGCUGCCGCGGAGCAGCGUGGUUCCCGGCACGCUCACGCACGGCAUCGCAGGGGCCGUCAGCCCCCUCCCGCCGCUGCCGCCCUCAGCAGCCCCUUGCCUCUUUCCCGCAGGUCGUCUCUCAGCAGCCGGCGCCACGUCGCCUCCCACCUGGCUCGGUGAGUGUGGACGGCCCCAGCCUGGCCGCGGGUCUGCAYGGGUGGCGAGGGGGCUCCGGCGUCCGGGAAGGCCGCGGUGCAAGUGUGUGAGCAUGCACGCAUGUGUGCAGGCAUGCAUGAGCAUGCAUGCAGGUGUGGGUGCACAUAUGCAUGCGUGCGCAUGUGUGUGA